rnacentral:misc_RNA from 1 species
GAUGAAGAACGUAGUGAAAUGCGAUACGUAAUGUGAAUUGCAGAAUUCAGUGAAUCAUCGAAUCUUUGAACGCAUAUUGCGCUCUCUGGUAUUCCGGAGAGCAUGCUUGUUUGAGUAUCAGUAAACACCUCAACUUCCAUAUCUUUUUUGAAAUGGGAGUUGGACUUGAGUGAUCCCAACGCUUUUCCUCACCGAAAAGUGGCGGGUUACUUGAAAUGCAGGUGCAGCUGGACUUUUCUCUGAGCUAUAAGCAUAUCUAUUUAGUCUGCCUAAAAAACAGAUUAUUACCUUUGCUGCAGCUAACAUAAAGGAGAUUAGUUCUUGUGCUGACUGAUGCAGGAUUCACAAAGACAGGCUUCGGCCGACUUUGUAAACUCGAUCUCAAAUCAAGUAAGACUACCCGCUGAACUUAAGCAUAUCAAUAAGCGGAGG